rnacentral:tRNA from 1 species
UGGGGAGUAGACGAAUGGUAAAGUCACCUGCCUUUGGAGCAGGAGUUUGGAGGUUCGACUCCUCCCUCCCCAG